rnacentral:rRNA from 1 species
AUAUGCUUGUCUCAAAGAUUAAGCCAUGCAUGUCUCAGUACAAGCCAAAUUAAGGUGAAACCGCGAAAGGCUCAUUAAAUCAGUUAUGGUUCCUUAGAUCGUACCCACAUUUACUUGGAUAACUGUGGUAAUUCUAGAGCUAAUACAUGCAAACAGAGCUCCAACCGGAGACGGAAGGAGUGCUUUUAUUAGAACAAAACCAAUCGGCGGCGUGUUCGCUUGCGUUCACGUUCGCCGCCCAACUUGGUGACUCUGAAUAACUUUAUGCUGAUCGCACGGUCUUGCACCGGCGACGCAUCUUUCAAAUGUCUGCCUUAUCAACUGUCGAUGGUAGGUUCUGCGCCUACCAUGGUUGUAACGGGUAACGGGGAAUCAGGGUUCGAUUCCGGAGAGGGAGCCUGAGAAACGGCUACCACAUCCAAGGAAGGCAGCAGGCGCGCAAAUUACCCACUCCCGGCACGGGGAGGUAGUGACGAAAAAUAACGAUACGGGACUCAUCCGAGGCCCCGUAAUCGGAAUGAGUACACUUUAAAUCCUUUAACGAGGAUCAAUUGGAGGGCAAGUCUGGUGCCAGCAGCCGCGGUAAUUCCAGCUCCAAUAGCGUAUAUUAAAGUUGUUGCGGUUAAAAAGCUCGUAGUUGAAUCUGUGUCCCGCGCUGUCGGUUCACCGCCCGCGGUGUUUAACUGGCACGAUCGCGGGACGUCCUGCCGGUGGAUGUGUGUGUCAGUGCAUUUCGGUGUAUCUGCUCCGCAUCCGACUCAACAAAUCCUGUCGCGGUGCUCUUAAUUGAGUGUCGAGGCGGGCCGGCACGUUUACUUUGAACAAAUUAGAGUGCUCAAAGCAGGCUAAAAUUACGCCUGAAUACUGUGUGCAUGGAAUAAUGGAACAGGACCUCGGUUCUAUUUUGUUGGUUUUCGGAACCCCGAGGUAAUGAUUAAUAGGGACAGAUGGGGGCAUUCGUAUUGCGACGUUAGAGGUGAAAUUCUUGGAUCGUCGCAAGACGGACAGAAGCGAAAGCAUUUGCCAAAAAUGUUUUCAUUAAUCAAGAACGAAAGUCAGAGGUUCGAAGGCGAUCAGAUACCGCCCUAGUUCUGACCAUAAACGAUGCCAGCUAGCGAUCCGCCGACGUUCCUCCGAUGACUCGGCGGGCAGCUUCCGGGAAACCAAAGCUUUUGGGUUCCGGGGGAAGUAUGGUUGCAAAGCUGAAACUUAAAGGAAUUGACGGAAGGGCACCACCAGGAGUGGAGCCUGCGGCUUAAUUUGACUCAACACGGGAAACCUCACCAGGCCCGGACACCGGAAGGAUUGACAGAUUGAGAGCUCUUUCUUGAUUCGGUGGGUGGUGGUGCAUGGCCGUUCUUAGUUGGUGGAGCGAUUUGUCUGGUUAAUUCCGAUAACGAACGAGACUCUAGCCUGCUAACUAGGCGUACUUUCCGGUAUCUCGAAGGCCAACGUCUCUCGGGUUUCCGUUUGGCGCGCAGUUUGCGCAUCGUUUCGGCGGUGUUGCGGCUGUGUGUCGUGCGGUCCGGGAGUUCGUGGUUUUUACUACCGGCGUACAAUUGAAUCUUCUUAGAGGGACAGGCGGCUCCUAGCCGCACGAGAUUGAGCAAUAACAGGUCUGUGAUGCCCUUAGAUGUUCUGGGCCGCACGCGCGCUACACUGAAGGAAUCAGCGUGUCCUCCCUGGCCGAACGGUCCGGGUAACCCGCUGAACCUCCUUCGUGCUAGGGAUUGGGGCUUGCAAUUGUUCCCCAUGAACGAGGAAUUCCCAGUAAGCGCGAGUCAUAAGCUCGCGUUGAUUACGUCCCUGCCCUUUGUACACACCGCCCGUCGCUACUACCGAUUGAAUGAUUUAGUGAGGUCUUCGGACUGGUACGCGGCGGCGUUUCGACAUCGCCGAUGUCGCUGGGAAGAUGACCAAACUUGAUCAUUUAGAGGAAGUAAAAGUCGUA